rnacentral:rRNA from 1 species
UACGUAGGGACCAAGCGUUGUUCGGAUUUACUGGGCGUAAAGGGCGCGUAGGCGGCAUGACAAGUCAGUUGUGAAAUCUCCGGGCUUAACCCGGAAAGGUCAACUGAUACUGUGCGACUAGAGUGCGGAAGGGGCAACUGGAAUUCUCGGUGUAGAGGUGAAAUUCGUAGAUAUCAAGUGGAACACCGGUGGCGAAGGCGGCCAUCUGGACGGUGACUGACGCUGAGACGCGAAAGCGUGGGUAGCAAACAGG